rnacentral:rRNA from 1 species
AAAUUGAAGAGUUUGAUCAUGGCUCAGAUUGAACGCUGGCGGCAGGCCUAACACAUGCAAGUCGAACGGUAACAGGAAGCAGCUUGCUGCUUCGCUGACGAGUGGCGGACGGGUGAGUAAUGUCUGGGAAACUGCCUGAUGGAGGGGGAUAACUACUGGAAACGGUGGCUAAUACCGCAUAACGUCGCAAGACCAAAGAGGGGGACCUUCGGGCCUCUUGCCAUCAGAUGUGCCCAGAUGGGAUUAGCUUGUUGGUGAGGUAACGGCUCACCAAGGCGACGAUCCCUAGCUGGUCUGAGAGGAUGACCAGCCACACUGGAACUGAGACACGGUCCAGACUCCUACGGGAGGCAGCAGUGGGGAAUAUUGCACAAUGGGCGCAAGCCUGAUGCAGCCAUGCCGCGUGUAUGAAGAA